rnacentral:rRNA from 1 species
GAUGAACGCUGGCGGCGUGCCUAAUACAUGCAAGUCGAGCGAACAGACGAGGAGCUUGCUCCUCUGACGUUAGCGGCGGACGGGUGAGUAACACGUGGAUAACCUACCUAUAAGACUGGGAUAACUUCGGGAAACCGGAGCUAAUACCGGAGAAUAUAUUGAAGCGCAUGGUUGAAUAGUGAAAGACGGUGUUGCUGUCACUUAUAGAUGGAUCCGCGCCGCAUUGGCUGGUUGGUAAGGUAACGGCUUACCAAGGGAACGAUGCGUAGCCGACCUGUGAGGGUGGUCGGCCACACGGGAGCGUGGCCACGCUCAAUACUCCUGCGGGAGGCAGCAGUAGGGAAUCGGCCGCAAUGGGCGAAAACCUUACGGAGCAACGCCGCGUGAGAGAUGACGGUCCUCGGAGCGGGAAACUCUGUUAUUAGGUAAGAACCAAUGUGUAAGUAACUAUGCACGUCUUGACGGUACCUAAUCAGAAAGCCACGGCUAACUACGUG